rnacentral:tRNA from 1 species
UGGGUUGUGGCUCAGUGGUAGAGCGCUCGCCUAGCAUGUGUGAGGCCCUGGGUUCUAUCCUCAGCACCACAU